UGGCCUACGGGGGGCUGCAGUGGGGAAUAUUGCACAAUGGGCGAAAGCCUGAUGCAGCAACGCCGCGUGAGUGAUGAAGGUCUUCGGAUUGUAAAGCUCUGUCUUUUGGGACGAUAAUGACGGUACCAAAGGAGGAAGCCACGGCUAACUACGUGCCAGCAGCCGCGGUAAUACGUAGGUGGCGAGCGUUGUCCGGAUUUACUGGGCGUAAAGGGUGCGUAGGUGGAUAUUUAAGUCAGAUGUGAAACCCCUGGGCUCAACUCAGGGACUGCAUUUGAAACUGGAUAUCUGGAGUGCAGGAGAGGUAAGUGGAAUUCCUAGUGUAGCGGUGAAAUGCGUAGAGAUUAGGAAGAACACCAGUGGCGAAGGCGACUUACUGGACUGUAACUGACACUGAGGCACGAAAGCGUGGGUAGCAAACAGGAUUAGAUACCCCGGUAGUCGUC
rnacentral:rRNA from 1 species